CUCACGAUUUCCGAAGAAAUUCUCCUAGAACUCUUGAAUGAAUCCUCAAAGGAUACCAGAAGGAUUCGUCCCAGUUAUCACAAAGAUAUCCUUCCAGAAAUUUUGAAAGAAUUUAUUAAUUAAUCUAAAAAAACAAUAACUAGUUUCCACUUUGAAUUAUUUAUUAUCAGAAAUCGUUACUGAAUUUAAAAAAAAAACCUUCAUGGAAUUCAGAAGGAAAUCCCUUAUGAAAAAAAAGGAUUCUCUCUCGAAUUUAGUAUGGAUCCCAAAAGGAUUCUAGAAACAAAACCGGAAGGACUAGCCUUAUUUGAUAGAGUUUUUCAGUGGCCGUGAAUUCUAUUAGUGACCGUAGAUAUUUAGUUUUAAUUUUCAUAACGAAUUGAAUCAAUAUAUACACCUAGGAUUAUUUUUAUUUAGGUUUUGCCAGUCUUGUCAAUCUCAUCGUCUCAAAUCAUCAUCGGAGAACUAGGCAUUCCGAAAAGAUGGAUCUUAUGAACCAAAUGGAUCAGGGCUGGAUUACGGUUCUGCUAUCACCUUCUACUACGCUGUAAGCCGAUCCCCAAGCCCAAGCACACGAGGUUACCAUGGAGCAUAUCACGGCGGAUUAUGUGAUCAAUUAUGACCUACCCUAUCUUAAGUUAUUGCUAGAGGAAUUCGAAGACGCCAAACAAAUUUCAUAUUAAUCUUAGUAUCAAGGGCAUUAGAUUUCGACCCGAGGUUAUAGAGCUUAAUGAGAAAUUUAACCUCCGGGACACAAUUGACGGAGGUGAUCGAGGUUCGUCUAGAGGAGCAAGUUGCCUAACUUUGAUAAUAAAAUGAC